AUUGAACGCUGGCGGCAUGCCUUACACAUGCAAGUCGAACGGCAGCACGGGAGCAAUCCUGGUGGCGAGUGGCGAACGGGUGAGUAAUAUAUCGGAACGUGCCCAGUCGUGGGGGAUAACGCAGCGAAAGCUGUGCUAAUACCGCAUACGAUCUACGGAUGAAAGCGGGGGAUCGCAAGACCUCGCGCGAUUGGAGCGGCCGAUAUCAGAUUAGCUAGUUGGUGAGGUAAGGGCUCACCAAGGCGACGAUCUGUAGCUGGUCUGAGAGGACGACCAGCCACACUGGAACUGAGACACGGUCCAGACUCCUACGGGAGGCAGCAGUGGGGAAUUUUGGACAAUGGGCGAAAGCCUGAUCCAGCAAUGCCGCGUGCAGGAUGAAGGCCUUCGGGUUGUAAACUGCUUUUGUACGGAACGAAACGGUGAGCUCUAAUACAGUUUGCUAAUGACGGUACCGUAAGAACAAGCACCGGCUAACUACGUGCCAGCCGCCGCGGUAA
rnacentral:rRNA from 1 species